rnacentral:rRNA from 1 species
GCCAGACUCCUACGGGAGGCAGCAGUGGGGGAUAUUGCACAAUGGGGGGAACCCUGAUGCAGCGACGCCGCGUGGGUGAAGGAGCGUUUCGGCGCGUAAAGCCCUAUCGGCAGGGAAGAAGGAGGACGGUACCUGACUAAGAAGCCCCGGCUAACUACGUGCCAGCAGCCGCGGGAAUACGUAGGGGGCAAGCGUUAUCCGGAUUUACUGGGUGUAAAGGGGGCGCAGACGGCGAUGCAAGCCAGGAGUGAAAGCCCGGGGCCCAACCCCGGGACUGCUCUUGGAACUGCGUGGCUAGAGUGCAGGAGGGGCAGGCGGAAUUCCUGGUGUAGCGGUGAAAUGCGUAGAUAUCUGGAGGAACAUCAGUGGCGAAGGCGACUAUCUGGCACAUAACUGACGCUGAGGAGCGAAAGCGUGGGUAGCAAACAGGAUUAGAUACCCGAGUAU